rnacentral:rRNA from 1 species
GUAUUCCGUGGGGCAUGCCUGUUCGAGCGUCAUUUACACCCUCAAGCUCUGCUUGGUGUUGGGCGUCUGUCCCGCUUCAUGCGUGGACUCGCCCCAAAGUCAUUGGCAGCGGUCGUGCCAGCUUCUCGCGCAGCACAUUUGCGUUUCUUGAAGUUUGGUGGAUCAGCAUCCAGUAAGCUCUUUUAUCACUUGACCUCGGAUCAGGUAGGGAUACCCGCUGAACUUAAGCAUAUCAAUAAGCGGAGGAAAAGAAACCAACAGGGAUUGCCCUAGUAACGGCGAGUGAAGCGGCAAUAGCUCAAAUUUGAAAUCUGGCUCCUUUUAGGGGCCCGAGUUGUAAUUUGCAGAGGGUGCUUUGGCGUUGGUAGCGGUCUAAGUUCCUUGGAACAGGACAUCGCAGAGGGUGAGAAUCCCGUUUGUGGUCGCAUGCCUUCGCCGUGUAAAGCCCCUUCGACGAGUCGAGUUGUUUGGGAAUGCAGCUCUAAAUGGGAGGUAAAUUUCUUCUAAAGCUAAAUACUGGCCAGAGACCGAUAGCGCACAAGUAGAGUGAUCGAAAGAUGAAAAGCACUUUGGAAAGAGAGUCAAACAGCACGUGAAAUUGUUGAAAGGGAAGCGCUUGCAGCCAGACUUGCCCGUAGUUGCUCACCUAGGCUCUUGCCUGGGGUAUUCUUCUGCGGGCAGGCCAGCAUCAGUUUGGGCGGUCGGAUAAAGGUCUCUGUCAUGUAGCUUCCUUCGGGAAGAACUUAUAGGGGAGACGAAAUGCGACCAGCCCGGACUGAGGACCGCGC